ensembl:miRNA
GUCCCCUUUUCCUCCUGCCACCAACGUGAGGAUCAUGCUUUGAAAAGGAUUACCUUGGUGCAUUGC